CGGCCGCCAUUCCGCAGCCAACCGCCAUCGCCGUGGCAAGGCCGGCAGGCCGCGCAAUGCUGCCUGUCCUGCUGAUCCUCUCAGGCCUGGGCUGGCUGACUUCCGCCGGCCAUCGUGAGUGUAGGACCUGCUCCGUAGAGGGUCACCUGUCGCAGAGCCUAUCCUGGAACAUCACUUCUACAAAUUACAGUGCCAUGGGAGACUGGGGCAAACACUGAUGAUGGCAAAGUUUCAUAAAUGUAUGCAAAUAAGAAAUCAUUCUUUGUAUUUUCUGGGUAUUUUAUUUUUUGGGCUACAUGAGAUCAGUAGUCCAGAUCAAUUCAUACAUAAUCAUUUACAAAAUUAUUUGUAUUCAUAUUUACUUUGUUAAAGAGCUCCAAUAAUUGAAUGAGA